rnacentral:rRNA from 1 species
GACGAACGCUGGCGGCGUGCCUAAUACAUGCAAGUGGGACGCAAGGGAACACACUGUGCUUUGCACACCGUGUUUUCUUGAGUCGCGAACGGGUGAGUAACGCGUAGGUAACCUGCCUAUUAGCGGGGGAUAACUAUUGGAAACGAUAGCUAAUACCGCAUAAUAUUAAUUAUUGCAUGAUAAUUGAUUGAAAGAUGCAAGCGCAUCACUAGUAGAUGGACCUGCGUUGUAUUAGCUAGUUGGUAAGGUAAGAGCUUACCAAGGCGACGAUACAUAGCCGACCUGAGAGGGUGAUCGGCCACACUGGGACUGAGACACGGCCCAGACUCCUACGGGAGGCAGCAGUAGGGAAUCUUCGGCAAUGGACGAAAGUCUGACCGAGCAACGCCGCGUGAGUGAAGAAGGUUUUCGGAUCGUAAAGCUCUGUUGUAAGUCAAGAACGUGUGUGAGAGUGGAAAGUU